rnacentral:lncRNA from 1 species
UGCUCAUCUGAUCUAAUUUCCAAAUGACAUUGCAGCAGUCUUCAACCUCAACUCAUGGGUGGGCAAAGCGAAUGACUGGCAACCAAAGGCUGUGAUCACAAUGCAUGCAGUUGCUGUCAACACAAAUCUACAGAAAAAUGAAGGUAAGAGAAAAAACAACCCAAACUUUUACAAGUCCCCUCUUUUCCAUAACCAAACUCUCGGCAUCUUAGUAAGCCUAUGAGUGGCUAUUUAUUUUGUGCCCAACUUUUCAUAAUUUUUCCUACUUUCUGAUAACAGGCCUGCAAGUCAAAUACCAUGUCAUGAGAGCUGGAGCUGGAGGAGAAGUCGUAUCUAUCAGAAUCUCGCAGCAGCUUCUGUAGAGUCCACUAGUCCCACAGAUCUUAGCCAAAGGACAAGUUAGAUGCCUUUCGAUAAUCUGAAUAGACAUAAUAUCUCAGAGAAGUAGAUAAUAUAACCCUUAUGGGGUAUAUAUGCAUUAGCUCAGUUACUAGUUCCACAGUUCUACUACUGCUCCCUUUAAAGGGGAUAACUAUAUAUUAAAAAGGACUCAGAUAGUUUGUUCUUCCCAUUCGAAAGACUCAUUCGAAAUUAUAAAUACAUCAGUUCCUGCUGCGCAUAGUUACUUCCCGAAAUUACAGAUUCCGAAUCUGAAUGAAAUCGUUUACUGCUGCAGAUUCCAACAGUUCUUAUCGUAGCUAUAUGAUGAACAGUUCGGGUAAUGCAUAUUCCCUCAAAGACUCUCCUAAUUUUAUUAUGCAAUUCCUAUUGUGGUUGAACAAGCCUAGAGAUUAAUAGUAGGUUUGGUUGUGGAUCUCACCAAUAAGAGUAAAAAGUCUGACCAAAUCUAUGAAGCAGUCUCUGACUUUAAAUUAUGACAUAAACAAGUGCAACCAAUAGCACAUAUAACGUAAGCUAUGACCUCUGGCCUCCAAAACCUAUUCUAAUUGGUAAAGUUCACAAAGCAGAUUAUCAUGAUAAUAAGAGUAAUCAUCACCAUUUAUUUGCGACUGCUCUUAUGUGGGCUAUAACAAGCAUUACACUACAAACUUUUGACUUUCAUAAUUUUUCAUUUCUUUAAUCUACUUACCCUCUCCCACAACCCAGCUACACAUAUUAUAUACAUAUAGAUAUAUAGUUAUAUAUAUAGAGACUACAUAGUAAAUACCUUACCAUUCUGGUUUCAGAAACUUUGAAACAAAAUGGACAUCUCAGACAUCCUCUUC